AGUGAACGCUGGCGGUAGGCCUAACACAUGCAAGUCGAACGGCAGCACAGUAAGAUCUUGCUCUUACGGGUGGCGAGUGGCGGACGGGUGAGGAAUACAUCGGCAUCUACUUUUUCGUGGGGGAUAACGUAGGGAAACUUACGCUAAUACCGCAUACGACCUACGGGUGAAAGCAGUGGAUCUUCGGACCUUGCGCGAUUGAAUGAGCCGAUGUCGGAUUAGCUAGUUGGCGGGGUAAAGGCCCACCAAGGCGACGAUCCGUAGCUGGUCUGAGAGGAUGAUCAGCCACACUGGAACUGAGACACGGUCCAGACUCCUACGGGAGGCAGCAGUGGGGAAUAUUGGACAAUGGGCGCAAGCCUGAUCCAGCCAUACCGCGUGGGUGAAGAAGGCCUUCGGGUUGUAAAGCCCUUUUGUUGGGAAAGAAAAGCAGCAGGUUAAUACCCCGCUGUUCUGACGGUACCCAAAGAAUAAGCACCGGCUAACUUCGUG
rnacentral:rRNA from 1 species